GGUGAGAACAGAGAGGGUCAAGGACAGAACCUUCUUCAAUUCAAAGAACAAUGCAGAAGAGAUCACCAGGGAGUUCCAACAGACUGCCAAAACUUACAUGGUUGUUUUUGAGACAUCCUUCAUGCUGGUCAAGGGGUCAGAGGUAUCAGGACAGCGCAAGAGGCACGGAGCAAACACGAUGGCCAAGGCGUUGGGGGACAUGCGGUUCACAUCUUCUAUCAAAGCCACUCUGAAAUUCAACAUCCAGGAAGAAAGAUUGUGCUGCUGCUGUUAGCCAUCAUCAAGUGACACACUAAGACCUCCAACACUAUUCAGGCUGCCUUAAUCCCACUGAAGUGAAAAGAAUCUAGGUAUUUAAACUAUCUGUAUAUCCAGAUCAGGUUCAGAAUAACUAGAAAACCCCUUCCUGAAAGGAAACUUAUUGACGUGCUUAUUCAGUUUUUAGAAAGAACAGCUGUGACACAUUAAAAAUAAAAAAGACUUCUGA